rnacentral:rRNA from 1 species
GUCCUAGCCCUAAAACGAUGAUUGCUUGGUGUAGCAGGUACCCAAUCCUGCUGUGCCGCAGCUAACGCGAUAAGCAAUCCGCCUGGGUAGUAACGGUCGCAAAGGCUGAAAACUCAAAGGAAUUGACGGGGGCCCCGCACAAGCGGUGGAGCAUGUGGUUCAAUUCGACGCAACGCGAAGAAACCUUACCUGGGCUCGAAGCGCAGUGGACCGGGAUGGAAACAUCCCUUCCCCUUAAAAGGCUGCUGCGGAGGUGCUGCAUGGCUGUCGU